rnacentral:rRNA from 1 species
UACGGGGGGAGCAAGCGUUGUUCGGAUUUACUGGGCGUAAAGCGCACGUAGGCGGCUUUCUAAGUCGGGGGUGAAAUCCUGGAGCUCAACUCCAGAACUGCCUUCGAUACUGGAAAGCUCGAGUCCGGGAGAGGUGAGUGGAACUGCGAGUGUAGAGGUGAAAUGCGUAGAUAUCAGAAGGAACAUCAGUGGCGAAAGCGGCUUCCUGGACCGGUACUGACGCUGAGGCGCGAAAGCGUGGGGAGCGAACAGG